CCUGGGCCGAGCCAACCCUCGCAGGGGGCCGCAGCCCUUCCCCAGAGGGUCAGAUAAAAAGCUCCACGUACACGUGAACAGCUUAGGAUGGGAAGAAAGGACUUGUCCGAACUGACACAAGCCUUCACUUUUUUACGAAACAGUUUGUAACCUUAUGUAAUGUUUUCCUCCCGUGAUAGAAUUCUUCAUCGAUGCACUGGUUGUGUGUGUCUGCGUCUUUCUGUAGUGCUGAAUUGGGGAAAAAUCAUUAAGGGCUUCCCGAUGCCUUUUAUGACUUGUGCGUCCCAACUCCUCCUCCAAGUAUCCGUUUCCGCUUUGCUUAAUUGACCAGCGUCCUGUUAACAUCCUUCCGGCGACGGUUCUCCUGAUACUGGGUUUCCAAACCUCAAGGGCCGGCUCAUCAACUCUUGGGGAACCGUUUUGCUCUGUUUCUUACCGAGUCAGGACACCUGCCAAAGGUAGCAGAGCACCUGCCUCCCUCGUUUGGGCUGAGACAGCGGCAAGCAGAAACACGUCGCACCUGUGAGUGACCUUUCCUCGUGGCAGGACGAUGGCUACUCAGUGGUGCCGAUGAUGUGUUAGCACAGAGGUAUUCACGUGUGUGAGGGACUGUGGGGAAGUGGCCGCCUCCAGGCAUGACCACGUGUCUGGAGGCUCAGUGAAUCAGCAUCUCUGGGGCCUUGAGAAGGACACAGGCACUAAAGCUGGAACCCAAGGGGAGCCUGAUGUUAUAACCACAAUGUCAAGCCUUGAAUUGGGGCCAUGCAAACCUGUGAGCGGGUUUCGCGUCUGUGCCUGGGACGUCGCUGGUCCAGGAGACAGAAGAACACACAGUGCAGAAUGGUGGCAGGCCAGAAUGGAAAGGGGGAUCUUCCAGUCCAACGCUUGUGUUUUGAGGGUUUGGCACUGGGUCCAGACAAAGGGGACCCUUCUUCCAACAUGGAAUGACCUCUCAACAAAGCCACAGUUGCCCGUGGUCUGCUCAGCCCCAGCACACAGUGUGUGAACAUGAAACCCAGCUAUGUAUGCAUCUGACAGGAACUCAAAAUAAUGUCCUUGGAGAUGAUGAAUUUGUGUCAACACUUUAUUAUAAAAUAAUUUGAAUGAAGGGGCACAUGAAAAAAGAAAUGAAUUCAAAUAAGUAAAUUUUAUAGAAACAGCUGCAAACAGCUAGAAAGAACUUUCGGUGAUCCUUUUAUCAAACCAUCUGUCUCCAGAUAGAAUUGUCCCUGACAUGGAUCAGGUAUCUCACAUGAUUUCAAGCACUCCUUAUCCAUAGAACUUUCUAGAAGCACCUCACUCUCUUGAAUAUUUAUCUGUGAAUUAUUGUAAUGGGUAGAGACUUGAAAUGCCUAUUAAAAAGAUGCCUAAGCAAAAUUAAUCUAUAGCAAUAGAAAUCAUAUCACUAAUUUGUCAGAGAUGGAGAGAGGUGUUUGAAAGGAGCAUGAGGGGACUUUCUGGGCGAUAGAAAUGUUCUGUAUCUUAGUAGGGUGUGUAUUACAUGGGUACAUACAUAUAAAUUGCAAAAGAAAAUCACUGCUCUGUUCAUUUAAAGUGUGGAAUGCUUAUUGUAUAUAAUUCUUAUGUCAAUAAAGUUUAUUUUAAAAUGGCUGAGAAAGGAUGUAUGUUACAUGCUCUAGAUAAUUUCAAAAUGAAUCAUCAGGCAUAAAUAUUACCAUUUCUGUGACAGCUAUAGGAGUUUUAGGUAAAAUGUGUCCAUAUCUACCUUUGCACAUAGGAAAUGGUGGAAAAAGCUGUCAGAGAUUAGCACAAGGAAUCAAUAUAUCCAGAUUCUUAUUAUGUGCUAGGUACUUUGGCUUAUUAAAUUUUAUUAGUGGUUUAAAAAAUAUUUUUAAAUGUUUAUUUAUUUGAGAGAGAGAGAGAGAGAGAGAGAGAGAGACUGGAGGAAGGGCAGAAAGAGAGGAAGACACAGAAUCUGAAGCAGACUCCAGGCUCUGAGCUGUCAGCACAGAGCUCGAUGCAGGGCUUGAACUCACAAACCGUCAGAUGGUGACCUGAGCCAAAGUUGGAUGCUUAAAUGCCUGAGCCACCCAGGCACCCCUAAAUCUUUUAUACAAACCUAGAAGUUAGUAUGAUGGCUAAUUUUAUGUGUCAACUUGGCUGGGCCACAGGGUACACAGACACUUGGUUGAAUAUCAUUCUGGGGGUUCCUGAGAGGGUGUUUUGGGAUGUGGUUAACAUUUACAUAGGUAGAUUUUAACAUUAGGUGAGAGUAACAUUUUAGACAGUAGAGUAAAGCAGAUUGCCUUCCAUAACGUAGGUGGGCCUCAUCCAAUCAGCUGAUGACCUGAAUAGAACAGAAAGACUGAUUGUACCCCAGGUAAGAGAGAAUUGUCCAGCUGCUGGCCUGCGAAUUGGAACAUCAACUCUUCAUGCUCAACAGCCUUUGAACUUGGACAUCAGCUCCUCCUGGGUCUCCAGCAUGACCAGCUCAGCUCGCUGAUGUUGAACUUACUGGCCUCCCCAGUUGUGUGAGCUGAUUCUCUGUAAUAAAUAUGUUACAUACACAUACACACACACACACACACACACACACACACACAGUCUGUUUUGUUUCUUUGGAGUACUCUGAGUGAUGCUGAUAGAUAUUAUUAGUCUCAUUUCCUACGUGAAAAUUCUCAGCCCACCAUGUCAAGAAGGUGGGUUCAGGUCUUGACGAGCGGCUUGUAUUGGAGUUGGAAUUAGAGCCAGGCACACACGGCGGCCAGCCGGAACUCUUUCCCACACACCUUUCUCCCGGGUAAACUGAUCUCUGUCAACGAUGUCAUUAGAGCUACCCAGGCUGAGAAGAACAGGCAGCAGCAUUCUGGUUUUGAGGGCAGAUGUCCCCACGAAUAUGCGUGAUAGCAGAGAGUUGUAAACAGCGCUCAGGAGGCAGUCAGAAAGGGGGGGCGGUUGAGUCCCACAUCUGCCCCUCAACAGCUGAUAUUCAAUAUGGUCAAGUUCUUUAACUUAAGGGCAAAUCCCUUCAUCUCUAAAAUGAGAGCAGUCAUUGCAUUUGCCUCUUAGGCUUUUUUUUUUCUCAUCAUUAAUUGAAAUUUUGCAAAUAAAGGACUUUUAUUUGGCAUACAGUAGGUUGUCAGUAAGUAAUAGUGUUAUUUUCCUCUGUGAGUCUCUCCUGCUGCAGAAUUGAACCGUGGUCGUGCAUUCACGUACCCAGCACUUGCCGUAUUGUGAUUCUCCUACACUCGGGUGACAGGUGAAUCCAACAGAAAUAGUCAAAUAUUCAAGACGAAUAUUAUGCAUUGAAUACUGUAGAUGCUAAAACUGUCAAAGACAAGAAACAUACUGAUUUUCAUUUUGCAUUUUAUGUGAUACGGUAUCUUGUACAAAGCAAGGGACCCACAACUGUUUGGGUCUGUUCCUCUUCCCAGGAGGAGGUUGUGAUAAUCACAUAUGGAUGCAUGAUCUUUCCUGUCCUGCUAAUGUGGACCUGGGAAGGGAAGCCAGAUCAGGGGACAGUUCUGGGCGGGGGAGAACCACAGGUGUUGAGGAACAGAACUGAGUUUGAUUUCUUGCUCUGAGACCCGGGAAAGCCACUUCUCCUCAGGUGGCAAACGCAUAUCGGAGGCUUCCACGCGGUGCCCAGGACUCACCUGCUCCCAGGAGACAAAGGGCCACACAGCAGAGAAGCCUGGAGCCCAUGGCAACACUGGGAAGCCAAGAUAUCAUCCAACUCAGGGGUGGGGGCCCCGGGGGUGAGCAGCCUAAAGCUUUGAACCUCCCAUUUCCCUGAAAGGAGUAUUUGCCUAUGACGUCACCACUCCCACAUCGCCACUCUGGUGACUCUGCAGGGCUGUGCCGAGCCCUGUGGCUCCGAGAAGUUCAUGUGCAGAUCAGAGAGACGGUCACACAAAUGUCACACUGAGAGCUAACCUGGCAAGGGUCAUUUUGCUCACUGUAACUCAUCCCAAUAGGCAAAGGAGAGCUGGGACCUGACCCAGGGCCGGUGGGUAACAAGAUCCACUGGGGCGCCCAGAGAGAGGAGAACAUCUCAGUGUCACUUGCUGUCUGCUUGCUUUGAUCAGAUGUCUUGAAGUUUGGGUGGCUCCAGCCUCCACUGGGCCUGUGAGGGAAGGACACAGGGGCUGGGGAACAAACACGAGAGGGAGCCCAAUGGUGCCACGCACUUAGGUGCUGUCAUGCUUAGAGGAGAGAUGUCCUACCUGGACGAGGACACACUUGCUCCCAGGAGAUAAAGGUCCACAUGGAGGCUGCAGCCCACAGCCUGCAGCGGGGAGGGCAGAACCUGACAGCUUUCUCCCCGCUCAGAGUUCUGGGUCUCCGAGAGCUGAAGAUCUGGGCGUCCCUUCUCUGACUGGAGGUUAGGCAGUAAUGUCACUGCUCCGAUGUCAUUAUCCCUCCUGGUUCCCAUGAGCCUCCCCUGCCAGGUCCCUGGCUACGCCGGUCCAGGAGCUCUGCUUUGUUCCACAAAGCCCCUCACAUGAAGGGCAGGGCUGGGACGGUCUACGCUAGCUGGGGUUAAGCCACAGGCGUGUCCACAGCUCCUCAGCUUUUCCUUUCAGGUGGGUGUUCCUCUACCUGUUCCUGCUAGGGCAAGGAGUCUGCCCCCUCCCAGCACCACACUGCACUUUUUUCCCCUUGAAAGCUCAGAGAGACUCCCUAAUGACUGCCGAGCUGAAGGUUUGGCCCCCUGAUGGGACUGCACAACCUCAAAUUAGUGUUGAUAGCAUUAAGCCUUGUAGUGGAAAAGAGCUCCAAGCAAGGCUUUCCUUAACCCUCCUGGUCCCAGUUAGCUGGCUCUAUGCCCCUGCUCUGCCCAGCGGUUCCACAGUGCCCCCAUGUGGUCUACUGGGCAGUAAUCAAGAGAUUGCCUCUACCGUAAUGUGAGUCCUGGGGUAUGUUUAAAUUAGAAGCUAUUCUGGGGCACUUGGGUGGCUCAGUUGGUUAAGCAGCCGACUUGGGCUCAGGUCAUGAUCUCACGGUUUGUGAGUUCGAGCCCCGCGUUGGGCGCUGGGCUGACAGCUCAGAGCCUGGAGCCUGCUUCGGUUUCUAUGUCUUUCUCUCUCUGCCCCUCCCCUGCUCAUGCUCUGUCUCUGCCUCUUAACAAGAGAUAAAGGUUAAUAAAUUAGAAACUAUUCCAUCCUUUGUCUAUUGCACUAUUUUUGUUUUCUGCCCCCACCCCCAGCAGACCAAAAAAAAAAAAAAAAAAAAAAAAAAAAGGUCAAAAGACAGCCCUAACUACAUUGUAAUAAAAAUAAAGGUGGCAGGAGGAAAUGUUUUGGUUUUGAGAAAAUUCCCAGUAAACCUAGCCUAAGUUAGAUGGCGCUGCUUAAGGAAGAAGCAUGGCCGAGAUCACCCAGAGACAGCCUGUGUCUGAUUGCGGAUGGAAUGCCAAGGAGUUUAGGAUGACAAAUAAUUAACUGACGUUGUUUUUGCUCUGCUGACCCCAGACAGCUCGCUCGAGGCAGACCAUUCAGACAGGUCUCUUUGCAAGGUGUCUGGCGAUCAGCUUUCCCCAAAAUAAAGGAAACAAUACUCACU